UACGAAGGGGGCGAGCGUUGUUCGGAUUUACUGGGCGUAAAGGGCGCGCAGGCGGCUUUGUUUGUCAGGCGUGAAAGCCCCGGGCUUAACCUGGGAACUGCGUUUGAUACGGCAGGGCUAGAGUUCGGGAGAGGAGCGUGGAAUUCCCAGUGUAGAGGUGAAAUUCGUAGAUAUUGGGAAGAACACCGGUGGCGAAGGCGGCGAGCUGGUC
rnacentral:rRNA from 1 species